UACGUGAGGGUGCAAGCGUUAAUCGGAAUUACUGGGCGUAAAGCGUGCGCAGGCGGUUAUGCAAGACAGAUGUGAAAUCCCCGGGCUCAACCUGGGAACUGCAUUUGUGACUGUAUAGCUAGAGUACGGUAGAGGGGGAUGGAAUUCCGCGUGUAGCAGUGAAAUGCGUAGAUAUGCGGAGGAACACCGAUGGCGAAGGCAAUCCCCUGGACCUGUACUGACGCUCA
rnacentral:rRNA from 1 species